AUUGAACGCUGGCGGCAGGCUUAACACAUGCAAGUCGAGCGGAGAUGAGGUGCUUGCACCUUAUCUUAGCGGCGGACGGGUGAGUAAUGCUUAGGAAUCUGCCUAUUAGUGGGGGACAACAUUCCGAAAGGAAUGCUAAUACCGCAUACGUCCUACGGGAGAAAGCAGGGGAUCUUCGGACCUUGCGCUAACAGAUGAGCCUAAGUCGGAUUAGCUAGUUGGUGGGGUAAAGGCCUACCAAGGCGAUGAUCUGUAGCGGGUCUGAGAGGAUGAUCCGCCACACUGGGACUGAGACACGGCCCAGACUCCUACGGGAGGCAGCAGUGGGGAAUAUUGGACAAUGGGCGGAAGCCUGAUCCAGCCAUGCCGCGUGUGAAGAAGGCCUUUUGGUUGUAAAGCACUUUAAGCGAGGAGGAGGCUACCUAGAUUAAUACUCUGGGAUAGUGGACGUUACUCGCAGAAUAAGCACCGGCUAACUCUGUGCCAGCCGCCGCAGUAACAC
rnacentral:rRNA from 1 species